CCAGCAGCCGCGGUAAUUCCAGCUCCAAUAGCGUAUAUUUAAGUUGUUGCAGUUAAAAAGCUCGUAGUUGGAUUUCGGGUGGGCGGUGUCGGUCCGCCGUUUCGGUGUGCACUGGCAGCGCCUACCUUGCUGCCGGGGACGGGCUCCUGGGCUUAACUGUCCGGGACCCGGAGUCGGCGAGGUUACUUUGAGUAAAUUAGAGUGUUCAAAGCAGGCCUACGCUCUGAAUACAUUAGCAUGGAAUAACACGAUAGGACUCUGGCCUAUCUUGUUGGUCUGUGGGACCGGAGUAAUGAUUAAGAGGGACAGUCGGGGGCAUUCGUAUUUCAUUGUCAGAGGUGAAAUUCUUG
rnacentral:rRNA from 1 species